rnacentral:lncRNA from 10 species
UAACAGUUUUAUUCAUCAGUAGUUCUGUGAGCCUCAUUAAUAUUUUGAUUUAUUUUAUCUUAUGUAGUGUUUACUUUUUGUUCAUAGAUAUUGAAGCAAUGGGAAAUAAUUUCUAAGUAACUACAUGUAUCAGGUUGUUCCAGAUAAACUUUGUAGUUCAAGAGGAAGGAAACUGUAUGAUGGAGUUUCAUUCUUGUUGCCCAGGCUGGAGUGCAAUGGUAUGAUCUCGGUUCACUGCAACCUCCGCCUCCCAAGUUCAAGCGAUUCUCCUGCCUCAGCCUCCCAAGUAGCAGGGAUUACAAGGCAUGUGCCACCAUGCCCGGCUCAUUUUGUAUUUUUAGUAGACAUGAGGUUUCACCAUGUUGACCAGGCUGGUUUCGAACUGCUGACCUCAGGUGAUCCAUCCGCCUCAGCCUCCCAAAGUGCUGGGAUUACAGGAGAGAGCCACCGCGCCCAGCAGACCUGAACAUUUUAACAGUCACUCCCCAUUCUUCCUUCCCCCACCUCUGAUAACCACUAAUCUACCUAAUAUGCCUAUAGAUUUGCCUAUUUUGGACUUUUCAAAUAAAUGGAAUCAUAUGUGGCAUUUUGUGGCUGGCUUCCUUGAGUCACCAUGAUAUUUUUAAGGGUUAUCCAUGUUGUAGUAUGUGUCAGUACUUGAAUUCCUUUUGUUGGUCUUCGAGUGGCUAAGGAGGGGAAACUGAGCACAAGAAGAGGGCACUUUGAGCACAGAGAAAGCUGGACCCGAAAUCUACCAACAAGAGCAGAACCUAAAUAUUGAUGAAGAGGGGCUGAUUCUAGGCACAGCAGGUGGUGGAAGCCUAAUAGUUGUGCAGGUGAUUUUAUAAUGUUAAAAGCACGGAGUGGCCACAGUUGGAUCUGACCGAGGGAACUGAAUCUUUUCCUCCAUGUGAGAGCUGUUGUCAGCCCAACAGGGGUAUACAUGUACCUGGGACAGGGCAGCUUCCCAUUCUGCAAUAGUGGCAUGAUACCCUUUUCCUGAGAUGCAUUCAGGGUUAAAGAAGAUAGUUCACCUACACGUUAGAUUUCCCGUGAAGAUAAAAAGUCCCAAGUUUUGAAAAGCAGAAGGAAUUCUAAAAAGAACUGAAAAACAAAAGCCCAUGGGGAGAGUGAUGAAAUGAGUUUCUGAGAAAGACUGUGAAGAGGGGUUCAAAGCGGCCGCUGACGGACUGCCCGAACCUAGGGCAAUGAAAGACCUGGGGCAGGAAUUGAUGUUGACCGUGGCAGAGGCAGUGGACCUGGUGGGCAGCCCAGAGGAAAAGGCCUUUGGCUUGCUGAGAGAGCUCUUCCAGAACUGAGCAAGAGCAUAGUUUGUUGAAGAAUGGAGAGGUCCACAGUCCAUCUCCUGUGCCAAGGAUUAGUAUUUCAUUUCAAGAAGCGAUUUGGUAGUCACAGAGUGAAUAUUAUUAUUUUUCCACAAAUUCAUUACCUCUUUCCCCUCAUGAGUAUCUUAGCAUUGAAUUUCCUGACUUUAUGAUGAAUAAACUUUGUUUUAGUGUUUAUUAAUGCCCUAUUUACUUUCCCCUGGGUGAAGUUUUGGCUAGUAAUAAGAUUUUGUGUCUCUGCUGUAGUGAGGCAUUGCUGUAGAAAGCCAGGUCUAAGAAAAAUGAAUUUUGUUCCUUUGGGGAAGCAUAAUUACCUUAAAAAAGUUUAAAGUGUGGUUUUCAACUUAGUAAAAUCCUAUUAUAAAGAAAAACGUACAUAGCAAAAAUUUUGCUUGUAGGUAAUACGAUCCUAGUAAAAUAGAAUUUACAUUGUCUCUUAUAGUUUGUUGUAAUAACAUUUUGUAAUAACAGUUUUUUUGCGAUGUAAUUGAUACUCAGUAAGCUGCACAUAUUUAAUAUGUAGAAUUUGAUGUUUUGUCACUUACAUGUGUCUAUGAAAUCAUCACCACCAU